UACGAGAGGGGCGAGCGUUGUUCGGAAUUAUUGGGCGUAAAGGGUGCGUAGGCGGUUUGGCAAGUCUGAUGUGAAAUCUAUGGGCUCAACUCAUAGUCUGCAUCGGAAACUGCCGGGCUUGAGUGUGGGAGAGGUGAGUGGAAUUCCUGGUGUAGCGGUGAAAUGCGUAGAUAUCAGGAGGAACACCGAUGGCGAAGGCAGGUCUCUGGGCUGUAACUGACGCUGAGGAGCGAAAGCAUGGGGAGCGAACAGG
rnacentral:rRNA from 1 species